UACGUAGGGGGCUAGCGUUAUCCGGAAUUACUGGGCGUAAAGGGUGCGUAGGUGGUUUCUUAAGUCAGAGGUGAAAGGCUACGGCUCAACCGUAGUAAGCCUUUGAAACUGGGAAACUUGAGUGCAGGAGAGGAGAGUGGAAUUCCUAGUGUAGCGGUGAAAUGCGUAGAUAUUAGGAGGAACACCAGUUGCGAAGGCGGCUCUCUGGACUGUAACUGACGCUGAGGCUCGAAAGCGUGGGGAGCAAACAGGAUUAGAUACCCUGGUAGUCCCUGAGCGGG
rnacentral:rRNA from 1 species